rnacentral:rRNA from 1 species
GCAGUUAAAAAGCUCGUAGUCGGAUUUCAGUAUUAGGCCCUUCUUCCAAUACGGUUGCUAGUGGUCUUUACUUCCUUAACAGAAUCUUUCAUCUCAUUAAUUUGGGGUGUUUGGGGCCUGUUUCUUUUACUUUGAGAAAAUUAGAGUGUUCAAAGCGGGUUUUCGCCAGGAUAUUACUCUUGGAAUAAUAAUAUAGGACUUUGGUUCUUUUUUGUUGGUGACUUAGAACCGAAGUAAUGAUUGAUAGGGACAGUUGGGGUCAUUCGUACUAUGAAGCGAGAGGUGAAAUUCAUGGACCUUUGUAUGACGAACUACUGCGAAAGCAUUUGACUAGGAUGUUCCCGUUGAUCAAGAACGAAAGUUGGGGGAUCGAAGACGAUCAGAUACCGUCGUAGUCUCAACCAUAAACUAUGCCAGCUAGGGAUUGGAGGAAGAUCAUUUUACGUCUCCUUCAGCACCUUAUGAGAAAUCAAAGCAUUUGGGUUCCGGGGGGAGUAUGGUCGCAAGGCUGAAACUUAAAGGAAUUGACAGGAAGGCACCACCAGGAGUGGAGCCUGCGGCUUAAUUUGAUUCAACAC